rnacentral:tRNA from 1 species
GCGCCUGUAGCUCAGUUGGAUAGAGCAACGGACUUCUAAUCCGUAGGUCAGGGGUUCGAAUCCCUUCAGGCGUACCA